rnacentral:rRNA from 1 species
UUGGAGGGCAAGUCUGGUGCCAGCAGCCGCGGUAAUUCCAGCUCCAAUAGCGUAUAUUAAAGUUGUUGCAGUUAAAAGGCUCGUAGUUGAAUUUCGGGAUCAAAUAAUCGGUCGUGCCUCCGGUACGUACUGGUUUUAUUGGUUCCUCCCUUCUGACGAACCAUGAUGUCAUUAAUUUGAUGUGGUGGAGAAUCAGGACUGUUACCUUGAAAAAAUUAGAGUGUUUAAAGCAGGCUAACGCUUGAAUACAUUAGCAUGGAAUAAUGAAAUAGGACGUUCGACCCUAUUUUGUUGGUUUCUAGGAUCGACGUAAUGAUUAAUAGGGAUAGUUGGGGGCAUUAGUAUUCAAUUGUCAGAGGUGAAAUUCUUGGAUUUAUUGAAGACUAACUACUGCGAAAGCAUUUGCCAAGGAUGUUUUCAUUAAUCAAGAACGAAAGUUAGGGGAUCGAAGACGAUCAGAUACCGUCGUAGUCUUAACCAUAAACUAUGCCGACUAGGGAUCGGAUGAUGUUAAUUUUUUAAUGACUCAUUCGGCGCCUUACGGGAAAC